GAUGAAGAACGUAGCGAAAUGCGAUAAGUAAUGUGAAUUGCAGAAUUCAGUGAAUCAUCGAAUCUUUGAACGCACAUUGCGCCCGCCAGUAUUCUGGCGGGCAUGCCUGUUCGAGCGUCAUUUCAACCCUCAGGCCCCCAGUGCCUGGUGUUGGGGAUCGGCAGCAGGGCGUCAAGCCCGCCGGCCCCGAAAUCUAGUGGCGGUCUCGCUGUAGUCCUCCUCUGCGUAGUAGCAACACUCGCAUGCGGAGCGCGGCGCGGCCACGCCGUAAAACCCCCGACUUUCUAAACGUUGACCUCGGAUCAGGUAGGAAUACCCGCUGAACUUAAGCAUAUCAAUAAGCGGAGGA
rnacentral:misc_RNA from 1 species